rnacentral:tRNA from 1 species
AUUUCUAUUUAUAUAGUUUAAAAUUAAAACAUUACACUUUCAUUGUAAAAACAAAUCCAGAAUUUUAUAA